UGGCGAACGGGUGAGUAACGCGUGAGGAACCUGCCUCAAAGAGGGGGACAACAGUUGGAAACGACUGCUGAUACCGCAUAAGCCCACGACCCGGCAUCGGGAAGAGGGAAAAGGAGCAAUCCGCUUUGAGAUGGCCUCGCGUCCGAUUAGCUAGUUGGUGAGGUAACGGCCCACCAAGGCGACGAUCGGUAGCCGGACUGAGAGGUUGAACGGCCACAUUGGGACUGAGACACGGCCCAG
rnacentral:rRNA from 1 species